GGCCAACACCUCCUUGGAGAGCUGCCAGACAGGGUUUUCUGAGCUGACAGAAGACUGGGACAUGCAUGUGAGAAGGCUCUCCUGAGUGUCGUGACAGAGAGGAUGAAGCGAGUCUGGUGGCUGAGAGAAGAAUAAGAACUGGGUGGUGAGAUGGCUUAGCAGAUCUCUCCAGCUCCUGCUCCCUGAAGACAGAGAAGGGUCUUUCACUGCUUUAUCAACCAGUCUGAGUAGAGGCAUCUGAGGUCAGUAGAGGUCACCCAGACUCAGGGGCCAAACAACUGGGGCCUAAUGGAGGUUGGAAUUCCGCUGUCCCGGGCCCAUUACAAGGCCUCCGUGAGAGCAACGAUGACUGGGGAUAUAGUGCUGCUGGUGAUGUGGUGCUCAGACAACCUGGCUUCCUGUUUGUCCCCUGCCCUACCUGGCCCAAAAUUCUGUGGAGAAGACCCACAUACCUCUGGCAGCAGAAGUCAAAUUCUGUCAGUCAGUAAGGUGGAUCCCUGCCCUUCACCGGGGACCUCCAGCCAGAUGGUGCCUUUGGGGUGGCCCUGGCCACCAUGGUGCAGGUAA
rnacentral:lncRNA from 1 species